rnacentral:miRNA from 1 species
CGGUUCGUACCAGGAGCAAUUCU